rnacentral:lncRNA from 1 species
UUGUUGGGAAUCCGGUAUUCGCUCCGGUACCGGAUCUUGUGAAUCCACAACCCGCUUCGAUACCGACUGCUGUGGAUCCGGUACCAAUUGUUGGGAUUCCGCAACGGAAACGUCGAAUCGGAUUUUUACCAUAAACCCAUCUCCUCAGCAAAAGCUGAUACAAUCACAAAAAAGAAAAAAAUCGAAACAGAAAAUAUGCAGAUAAAAUAAGAUUCAUUAAAUAAAAGAAUAUUACACCUGACUCUUCUUCUGCAAUAGAGUAGUUAUAACUCGAGCCCUCUUUCUGAAUCUCUUCUAUUCUUCUCUCGUCUUUUAUAAAUCUAAAAGACAACUCUCUUUCUCUUUUACAUGCACCCGUACACUAGGUGCAUGCAAUCGGCCAACUCUCCCUCUCUGGUACAAACCCACCAAAGAGCUUCAACUUUUUGGCCGUUCUCUCUCUCUCCAAAAGCACUCAACAUGGUGCUUAUAUAAUGCUUACAAUAAAAGUACCCAAAUCCUAGUAUAUUUAGAAUUCCCACUUUAAUAAAUAUUUAAAUCUAUAUUUCGUUUAUCUCUAAUAGACUUAAAUAUUUAUUCUAACCUAAUUAGAUUCAUACUCUAAUUAAUAUUUAAAUCUUAAUAUAUCUCCAACAGAUUUAAAUAUUAAUCCUUAUCCAACUAGAAUUAAUAUACAAAUUUAACCAAAUCCUAACAUCCUUAACCUAGUAAUACUUGUUAGUGUCUGUUUGAUCUAACUUCUGAAAUAAUGAAAAAGUUAUUUGUCCUUAACCUAGCAAUACACAACCAACAUUAUAUCCUACAAUC